GUUUGACCUCGGAUCAGGUAGGGAUACCCGCUGAACUUAAGCAUAUCAAUAAGCGGAGGAAAGAGACCACAGGGAUUGCCUCAGUAACGGCGAGUGAAGCGGCAACAGCUCAAAUUUGAAAUCUGACUCCGUCGGGAGCCCGAGUUGUAAUUUGGAGAGGGCGCUUCGGGCGCGGUGCCGGUCUAAGUUCCUUGGAACAGGACGUCGCAGAGGGUGAGAAUCCCGUACGCGACCGGCGAUCAAGCCCAUGUGAAGCCCCUUCGACGAGUCGAGUUGUUUGGGAAUGCAGCUCCAAACGGGUGGUAAAUUUCAUCUAAAGCUAAAUAUUGGCCAGAGACCGAUAGCGGACAAGUAGAGUGAUCGAAAGAUGAAAAGCACUUUGGRAAGAGAGUCAAACASUACGUGAAAUUGUUGAAAGGGAAGCGCUUGCAAUCAGACCGGUCCGGGGGCGAUCAGCCGCGGCUUGUCCGCGGUGCACGCGCCCCCGAUCCGGCCAGCAUCGGUUUGGGCGGCGGGACAAAAGGCUCGGGAACGUAGCUUCUUUCGGGGAGUCUUAUAGCCCGGGUCGCAAUGCCGCCCGCCUGGACCGAGGACCGCGCUUCGGCUAGGAU
rnacentral:rRNA from 1 species